GUCUUGAAACACGGACCAAGGAGUCUAACAUGGACGCAAGCUUAAGAGUCUUGAAUAGGCUCGUUAGGCGCAAUGAAAGUGAUACUUGUGCUGCACUCGCUUCACGGCUUGUGUGGUAGAUGUGAACACGUCUCUAACUGCUCUCUGCAGUGGCGGCGCUUCAGCAUCGGCCCGUGAUAUGUGCUGCUUGCAGCACUUUUGCGGAGUCUGAGUGUCUAUGUUGGUACCCGAAAGAUGGUGAACUAUGCUUGGGACAGAUGAAGCCAGAGGAAACUCUGGUGGAGGUCUGUAGCGAUUCUGACGUGCAAAUCGAU
rnacentral:rRNA from 1 species